rnacentral:tRNA from 1 species
GCCGAGAUAGCCUAGAGGCGAGGCGGUGGACUGCAGAUCCACUACACGAGGGUUCAACUCCCUCUCUCGGCU